UCAACUUUAGAGACAGACAUCAAUCAGAGCUAUUAUUAUAACACCUGCGCCGCUAACGUCUGUCUUGUGCGGACUCAAUAGCCAAAGCUACAAGACACUGGCAAAAGCAAACUAACUACUUACAGCCGCACCCAGUCAAGUCUAACAAAGAUAUUCAGCGCUCAAGUUUAAAGUAGUAUGUGAGUUUGUUGUGCAAGAACAUUAGCUGGCUGGGACAGGUGCUAGCUUACCUGUUGUUCUCCUAGCCGUUACACGACUGACAGGACGUCAGUGGACACCGCACGCACUACAGGUGGCCCCACUGUGACGCAGUGGAAAAACUAUAAAAGUAACAACGUCACAAGAAGGAUAUUUAACCUCACAUCGACUGACCGUCCCUUCACACAGAGAAGGCCCAGUUGUGAUGUGAUCAAUAACAAGCUCCUUAGCCACAGGUGCUCUCCGGGGAGACAGACCUGGAGCCUUCCCUCCUCAGCUUAUUGUCUGUUGCUGACUCUGGCAGACCCAAGCAUUCAAGCCUGACCGAUGCACACAGCCCUCUGAGGAAAUGCAACAUACAGUAUGCAGACCUGUGCCCACUGUGCCCCGCUGCUCUAAAUUACUGUUACAGAUGUGCCAACCUGAUGGCCUUUUACAGCAUUCAUCACUUUCUUAUCUUGCAUACUUUUAUCUUGAUAAGUCACAUUCAUCAUUUCCUGUGGCUAACACUAGUUCACUUCCUGUUAGUUCAGAUGUUCCAUCAACACAAAUCUGACAACUGUUCCUGGGGCUUUCUACAUAAAAUACCUGCUACCACAAAGGUUUUGUACCCAGUGUGGGUGAUAUGCGUGUGACAAGAUCUUGAAUGGAGUCCCUGGGAGUGAAAAGCAACAAAAAACUGGAACUUUGUAAUUUCUGCUGCCUUGCAUUGGCUUGACACAUCUAUACUGCAAGCUAAAAAGGCACCACCCACCAACCCAACGUUCACACUAUUGUCAUCAAAUUCAAGUUGAUCACUGGGCCUGUCGGUUUACCUCAUCACUCACUGUUAACCCUGCAGUGCCAUCUACAUCACCACCCCUAUGCUGUUGUAUGUGCACAGAUUACGCUAGAAGAUUGUUAUGCCUUUAUUCACUCAGAUUCCACUGGGGUUUUGUUUAUGGGUUAAUAGAAGACAGUUGUGCUGACCUCCUGGUUGGGCAGGGAAGUGAGGCCUCAUGCCAUGGCCCACUAGAGCUGCACAUAAUCUGCAAAUUGUUGUACUAUUAGCAUAAACUGAGGACAACUGGAGGAUUCUGAAAGACUACUAAUAUUACUGAGGCCACUGACAUGCACAAAUCAACAAAAGCACACGGUACAAAACUAAAAGGUACUUUCAUUACUUCCAAUAAAUUGUAUGUCGCUGUGAUGUUU